rnacentral:lncRNA from 1 species
AGAACUGCCCCCAGGCUUUUCUGUCGGGCUUUUUCCCUCCAAGCAGCGAUUUGGGAACAGGUUGUGGGGGGAUCUUUGUGGACAGGCAAAAGUGGAUGCAAAUCAAGAUUGCUGCUCUCUUAUCAGUCCAAUGGAAUCUACGUGCUAAACCACCAUGUCUUCAAGUCACCAAUGGAACUUAUUACCCAAGGGGAUCCAGUCCAGGCAUUUCUGAAUCAUUUGAAAGUUGAUUGAGGCCUUUGGUUCCAAAAUGACCAUUUACCUGAGGAGACAGUGAUUCACACGUUGGAAGAGAUGAUACGGCGUCAGAGUGUCUAAGACAUUCCCCUCAUGGCUCCCUUCAUCUUAAAAUGAUCUCUGACCUACCCUUUCCUUUCUGGAUGACCCAUUUUACUCAGGAGCUAAGUGAUGAACCAGGGAAGUAAGCACUCACUGUAUGGACAACAGGAUUUCAGUUCUAAGCUAGUUUUAUCCAGGCAACUUCCCUCUUGUGCAUUUCACCAAUACUUGUUGAUUACUCUUACGAUUUUCCAUGAGAUGGAAUCCUUCACAAUAGUUUCCCCAGUCCUCACAGGAGAGCAACACCUGGAAGGGCAUGGCCUUCCUUUAAUAGACACACCACUUCCUUUUACAAAGGAAGUUUGGAGAAUAUAAUGUUGCUUGCAACAGCCAUUAGGAUUUAGCAAAACACUGUUUUAUCUCUUUGGAUAUUGAUUGUAUGUCAUUCCCCUAAGGUAUUAAACAAAUAAAAUCAAGCUACAUCA